GGGGCUAUAGCUCAGCUGGGAGAGCGCUUGCAUGGCAUGCAAGAGGUCGACGGUUCGAUCCCGUCUAGCUCCACCACCC
rnacentral:tRNA from 1 species